rnacentral:rRNA from 1 species
ACGUAGGGGGCGAGCGUUGUCCGGAAUCAUUGGGCGUAAAGCGCGUGUAGGCGGCUUGAUAAGUCUGGUGUGAAAUCUUGGGGCUUAACCCCAAGCCUGCACUGGAUACUGUCAAGCUUGAGUCCGGGAGGGGAGAGCGGAAUUCCUAGUGUAGCGGUGAAAUGCGCAGAUAUUAGGAAGAACACCGGUGGCGAAGGCGGCUCUCUGGAACGGUACUGACGCUGAGACGCGAAAGCGUGGGGAGCGAACAGGAUUAGAUACCCUGGUAGUCCACGCCGUAAACGAUGGGCACUAGAUGUGGGCGGUGUCGACUCCGUCCGUGUCGAAGCUAACGCAUUAAGUGCCCCGCCUGGGGAGUACGGCCGCAAGGCUA